GCAUGUGGUUUAAUUCGAAGCAACGCGAAGAACCUUACCAGGUCUUGACAUCCUUUGACCACUCUGGAGACAGAGCUUUCCCUUCGGGGACAAAGUGACAGGUGGUGCAUGGUUGUCGUCAGCUCGUGUCGUGAGAUGUUGGGUUAAGUCCCGCAACGAGCGCAACCCUUGAUUUUAGUUGCCAGCAUUUAGUUGGGCACUCUAAAGUGACUGCCGGUGCAAGCCGGAGGAAGGUGGGGAUGACGUCAAAUCAUCAUGCCCCUUAUGACCUGGGCUACACACGUGCUACAAUGGAUAGUACAAAGGGUCGCGAAGCCGCGAGGUGGAGCUAAUCCCAUAAAACUAUUCUCAGUUCGGAUUGUAGGCUGCAACUCGCCUACAUGAAGCCGGAAUCGCUAGUAAUCGUGGAUCAGCAUGCCACGGUGAAUACGUUCCCGGGCCUUGUACACACCGCCCGUCACACCACGAGAGUUUGUAACACCCGAAGUCGGUAGGGUAACCUUUAUGGAGCCAGCCGCCGAAGGUGGGACAGAUAAUUGGGGUGAAGUCGUAACAAGGUAGCCGUAUCGGAAGGUGCGGCUGGAUCACCUCCUUU
rnacentral:rRNA from 1 species